GUCAGCUGCAAGAGACUCACGGAUGAUACAUGCGCGCACAGAAGGCGAUGAAGAGGUGAGUUACUGCGAUCAGGCUCGGUGAGUUGGAAUCACAAUUUGAUCAGGUAUUCCGAAUGGGCAACCCCAUGAACGGUCAAGCUGAAUAUAAGGUUGGUGCGAGCUACUUGACUACUGAAUCAUUCUUACU
rnacentral:rRNA from 1 species